AAUCUCGUCCCGCCUCAUCGAUGUGGGUCCAAAUUAUGUCCUUGGCUCGCAAACCCAUCAACUUGGUCGCCCAACUGACAGUAUGGUCAAGAAGAACAAAAGCACCCUUGGUAGGCAAAUAUCCCAUGAACCAUUUGCAUAACAACUAAGCACAACACCUAAUCAAUCCCCCAAAGUUCUUCUGGUUAGGAAACAGGACGAUUCCAUAAAUGCCCACAGCAACCAAAGCACAGACAGCUUCCUAGUUACCCAACUCAGCAUGCUCCUUGGCCUUUACCUCUAAGAAGCUCAGAUGAAAACCAGGCAACUUCCCCUUCUCUUUCAAACCCCCCUUAAUCCCUUCCGGACUCAAAUAAAGAGCACGGGAUAUCUCACCAAUAUCAGGUUCUUCCUUGGUAGCAAAGAAAGGAACCUGAUUUUUGAUCUGAAUGCCCAAGAUAUCAUCAUAGUCCUCCAUCAAAGGCCCUAAUAAGUAAUCUGGGAAGACGAAGCACCUCAAACCCGGGUCAUAAAACUGGAGAAGAGUAUGGAUGGCGUCCCUAUCUCUGUCAGUGAGUCUGAAAACC
rnacentral:lncRNA from 1 species